rnacentral:rRNA from 1 species
ACGGGUGCGUAACGCGUGGGAAUCUGCCCUUGGGUUCGGAAUAACAGUUAGAAAUGACUGCUAAUACCGGAUGAUGACGUAAGUCCAAAGAUUUAUCGCCCAGGGAUGAGCCCGCGUAGGAUUAGCUAGUUGGUGAGGUAAAGGCUCACCAAGGCGACGAUCCUUAGCUGGUCUGAGAGGAUGAUCAGCCACACUGGGACUGAGACACGGCCCAGACUCCUACGGGAGGCAGCAGUGGGGAAUAUUGGACAAUGGGCGAAAGCCUGAUCCAGCAAUGCCGCGUGAGUGAUGAAGGCCUUAGGGUUGUAAAGCUCUUUUACCCGGGAUGAUAAUGACAGUACCGGGAGAAUAAGCUCCGGCUAACUUCGUGCCAGCAGCCGCGGUAAUACGAGGGGAGCUAGCGUUAUUCGGAAUUACUGGGCGUAAAGCGCACGUAGGCGGCUUUGUAAGUAAGGGGUGAAAGCCCAGAGCUCAACUCUGGAAUUGCCUUUUAGACUGCAUCGCUUGAAUCCAGGAGAGGUGAGUGGAAUUCCGAGU